rnacentral:ncRNA from 2 species
GCGCUCCGUUAGAGGUGCUGCCCGAAGUACGGGCGGCUGAGAUCAUACUCUGGUACCUGAUCCGGAUAAUGCCGGCGAAGGGAAACGGAAUCCUUCCUUC